rnacentral:lncRNA from 1 species
AGUCCCCAGGAGCAGUGCUGGUUCGCAAGCAGGAUAACCAACACGGCGAGCUUUCGCAGGAUUACAUUGCCUCCAUAGACCUCACCUGGUAGGAGCAGAAUCCAUCUGCUGCUAGGAGUAUUACCAUUUUCACUUUUACCCAUCUCCAUGCGGGUAUGCGCACACUGUAUUUAUCUACACCAUUAGGAGCCCCAUUAGGCAACAUAUUACCAAACCUGCGCUAUCCUACCACUUCCACAACAAGUGCGUUUGCGGGUUAAGUGGCUUGAGCUGGCAGCAACAUACAUACAUUCGUACAUGUAACCAUUGCCCCCGAGAGUUUCCGGGAUCGAUACCUGUCAAGACCAAAAAUCCCUCCGAUUGUGGAAGGUAUUGCGCCCCUAGUUGAUAAUGGACGGUGGUGACCUGGGAAAAAGUUACCUCGCGAUGACGACCACGAAUGGAGAUGGGCCAUUGUCGACCCGGCAGAUACCGUUGGAUGCUGGUGGUGGGUGCGGAACCUUAGCGAUCCACUGAGAAGCUGACUAGGGUGACAGGAUGAGGGUGCCCCGAAAUACCGGGGAAGGCAGGUUUCGCGGGCUAGCUGCCAUGGGUGAAGAUAUACCCCCCUGUUUCACACAUCAUACAUGCCUCCAUCUCACCAUCGCCAGCGAAUGAUUACUGAACAAGGCCUGUGCGCCUGCAUACAUUAUAGGCAGGCGGCUGGCGGCUGGCAGAAGGCAGGCGGCUGGCAGAGGUUAAGGCCUGACUUCUGCUCCCAGUUGACCCAGUCGACCCGGGUUCAAAUCCGCCUGCCGGCUCCUCGGGUGUUUGAGGAGUGAUGAAAUGGGAGGUGGCCCCCCAUCUUAUGGACGGUGUAGGACGUGAUAAUAUCAACUUGCGAGCUGACCAGGAACUAAGUUGAUGCGCCGUUGAUCCGCUAGAUUUGGUUGGAUGCUGGUGGUGAGUUGCCGAACUCAACGAAUACAUUCUGAAGUCGGAUGGGGUGACGGAUUAGGGUGCCCCUCUAGCAGGGGAGAGCAGGGACUGCCCCGGGAAAGGGGGCCGCUGGCGAAGUUAACCACCCUGUAACAACAUACAUUAUAAUUGGCUGUCUUCGCGGAAUGAUUGCAUAGCAGACUAGAAAUGGUGCGUGUGCACAGGAACAGAACACGGAAGAAGCCAAGGGCUGCAAAUAACGUAAGCAAGCAA